GUCAAACCAGAUCUGGGUUUUAUUGUAUAUAAAUGUUCAGCAUCAAACACAUUUCUGUGUUCUGCCUAAAAGUUUAUUUUGAGACAGUCUUGCCGUGUCACCCAGGCUCGGGUGCAGUGGCGCAAUCACGGCUCACUGCAGCCUUGACCUCCUUGGCUCCAGCAAUCCUCCCAUCUCAGCCUCCUGAGUAGCUGGGACCACAGGCGUUUGCCACUGCACCUGGCUAAUUUUUAAAUCUUAUUUUUGUAGAGACAGGGUCUCACUAUGUUGCCCAGGCUUGUCUCAAACUCCUCGGCUCAAGGAAUCCUCCUGCCUCAGGCUCCUAAAGUGUUGGGAUUAUAGGCAUGAGCCAC
rnacentral:lncRNA from 10 species